rnacentral:tRNA from 1 species
UUCAUCUUAGCUCAGUCGGUAGAACGUAUGUCUUUAUAACAUGUGGUCGUGGGUUCGAUUCUCGCAGACAGUGAAG